rnacentral:tRNA from 1 species
GGGCUAGUGGCGCAACGGAUAACGCGCCUGACUACGGACCAGGAGAUUGUAGGUUCGAAUCCUACCUAGCUCG